rnacentral:rRNA from 1 species
GACGAACGCUGGCGGCGUGCUUAACACAUGCCAGUCGAACGGAAAGGCCCUGCUUUUGUGGGGUGCUCGAGUGGCGAACGGGUGAGUAACACGUGAGUAACCUGCCCUUGACUUUGGGAUAACUUCAGGAAACUGGGGCUAAUACCGGAUAGGAGCUCCUGCUGCAUGGUGGGGGUUGGAAAGUUUCGGCGGUUGGGGAUGGACUCGCGGCUUAUCAGCUUGUUGGUGGGGUAGUGGCUUACCAAGGCUUUGACGGGUAGCCGGCCUGAGAGGGUGACCGGCCACAUGGGGACUGAGAUACGGCCCAGACUCCUACGGGAGGCAGCAGUGGGGAAUAUUGCACAAUGGGCGGAAGCCUGAUGCAGCAACGCCGCGUGCGGGAUGACGGCCUUCGGGUUGUAAACCGCUUUCGCCUGUGACGAAGCGUGGGUGACGGUAAUGGGUAAAGAAGCACCGGCUAACUACGUG